rnacentral:rRNA from 1 species
CCUACGGGCGGCAGCAGUGGGGAAUAUUGGACAAUGGGGGGAACCCUGAUCCAGCCAUGCCGCGUGUGUGAAGAAGGCCCUCGGGUUGUAAAGCACUUUCAGUGAGGAAGAACGCCUGGUGGUUAAUACCCAUCAGGAAAGACAUCACUCACAGAAGAAGCACCGGCUAACUCCGUGCCAGCAGCCGCGGUAAUACGGAGGGUGCGAGCGUUAAUCGGAAUUACUGGGCGUAAAGCGCGCGUAGGUGGCUUGAUAAGCCGGUUGUGAAAGCCCCGGGCUCAACCUGGGAACGGCAUCCGGAACUGUCAAGCUAGAGUGCAGGAGAGGAAGGUAGAAUUCCCGGUGUAGCGGUGAAAUGCGUAGAGAUCGGGAGGAAUACCAGUGGCGAAGGCGGCCUUCUGGACUGAAACUGACACUGAGGUGCGAAAGCGUGGGUAGCAAACAGGAUUAGAUACCCGUGUAGUC